rnacentral:lncRNA from 1 species
GAAAUUCAAAGGACAGACGUUUGAAAUCUCCUUGAGCAGUGUGCGUACUGUUGGGAUUAGACAUUCAUUAAUUAGCUGUAAUCAUUUUUCCCCCAAGCGUGCAAUCUUGAGCUUUGUACUAACGCAAUUUAAUGUGUCGUUUUGCAUGUGUUUUACUUAGAGUAUAUAAACACUUUUCUCACAUUUCACACACUUAUCAC